GACGAACGCUGGCGGCGUGCUUAACACAUGCAAGUCGAACGAAGUGGCGAACGGGUGAGUAAUACGUGGGUAACCUACCCUCCUUUUUGGGAUAAGCCUUGGAAACGGGGUCUAAUACCGAAUAAAGGGGGCUGGUCUCGCGGCCUAUCAGCUUGUUGGUGGGUGGAUGGCCUACCAAGGGGGUGACGGGUAGCCGGCCUGAGAGGGUGACGGGCAACAUUGGGACUGGGAUACGGCCCACACUCAGAAGGGUGGAAGCAGGGGGGGAUAGUGCACAAUGGGCGAAAGACUGAUGCAGCGACGGCGAGUGGGGGAGGAAGGCUUUCGGGUUGUAAACCUCUUUCGCUAUAGAACGGGGAGGUGGAGAAGAAGCGCCGGCUAACUACGUGCCAGCAGCCGCGGUAAUUC
rnacentral:rRNA from 1 species